rnacentral:rRNA from 1 species
GACGAACGCUGGCGGCGUGCUUAACACAUGCAAGUCGAGCGGUAAGGCCCUUUCGGGGGUACACGAGCGGCGAACGGGUGAGUAACACGUGGGUGACCUGCCCUCAGCUCUGGGAUAAGCCUGGGAAACCGGGUCUAAUACUGGAUAUGACUCCAUGACGCAUGUUGUGGGGUGGAAAGCCUUGUGCGGCUGAGGAUGGGCCCGCGGCCUAUCAGCUUGUUGGUGGGGUGACGC